UAAUACGUAGGGUGCAAGCGUUAAUCGGAAUUACUGGGCGUAAAGCGUGCGCAGGCGGUUUUGUAAGACAGAGGUGAAAUCCCCGGGCUCAACCUGGGAACUGCCUUUGUGACUGCAAGGCUGGAGUGCGGCAGAGGGGGAUGGAAUUCCGCGUGUAGCAGUGAAAUGCGUAGAUAUGCGGAGGAACACCGAUGGCGAAGGCGAUCCCCUGGGCCUGCACUGACGCUCAUGCACGAAAGCGUGGGGAGCAAACAGGAUUAGAUACCCUGGUAGUCCACGCCCUAAACGAUGUCAACUGGUUGUUGGGUCUUCACUGACUCAGUAACGAAGCUAACGCGUGAAGUUGACCGCCUGGGGAGUACGGCCGCAAGGUUG
rnacentral:rRNA from 1 species